ACUACUGGUGUUCGGGUUGUCAUGCCAAUGGCACUGCCCGGUAGCUAAAUGCGGAAGAGAUAAGUGCUGAAAGCAUCUAAGCACGAAACUUGCCCCGAGAUGAGUUCUCCCUGACCCUUUAAGGGUCCUGAAGGAACGUUGAAGACGACGACGUUGAUAGGCCGGGUGUGUAAGCGCAGCGAUGCGUUGAGCUAACCGGUACUAAUGAACCGUGAGGCUUAACCUUACAACGCCGAAGMUGUU
rnacentral:rRNA from 1 species